ACCCCCUAGAGACAUUGCAGCCUUGGCUAGAGUGUCUCAGGUGAAUCUGUAGGUGGCAGAGAGGAGACAGGUUGAGUAUAUAUAUGGUCCGUGUUCUGACAUAUGAACCUCUGAAUGAUUAUUAGCCUAACAUU
rnacentral:snoRNA from 1 species